AUACAUUUCUCGGUCUUUUGAAUAAGAUAAGGUGUAAUAUUUGUUCUUAUUAGUUUAAUAUUUGAUAUGUAGACCAUAUGCUCACUCUGAUAUUAAAUUUAUUUUUUAUGGGUAUUAGAUUACAUGUCGUCGUAACGCACGUGCAUUGUAC
rnacentral:snRNA from 1 species